rnacentral:sRNA from 1 species
GAGAGGAGGAGCGCAAUGAUGCGUAGCAGCAUUCUUUGAAUGCGCUCCGACGACAUGCCCCGGCCCAGUGGGGCGGGGCGAUACCUUGA